AGCGGCGGACGGGUGAGUAACGCGUGGGUAACCUGCCUCAUACAGGGGGAUAACAGUCGGAAACGGCUGCUAAUACCGCAUAAGCGCACAGUACCGCAUGGUACCGUGUGAAAAACUCCGGUGGUAUGAGAUGGACCCGCGUCUGAUUAGGUAGUUGGUGGGGUAACGGCCUACCAAGCCGACGAUCAGUAGCCGACCUGAGAGGGUGACCGGCCACAUUGGGACUGAGACAUGGCCCAA
rnacentral:rRNA from 1 species